AUUGAACGCUGGCGGCAGGCCUAACACAUGCAAGUCGAGCGGAUGAAGGGAGCUUGCUCCUGGAUUCAGCGGCGGACGGGUGAGUAAUGCCUAGGAAUCUGCCUGGUAGUGGGGGAUAACGUCCGGAAACGGGCGCUAAUACCGCAUACGUCCUGAGGGAGAAAGUGGGGGAUCUUCGGACCUCACGCUAUCAGAUGAGCCUAGGUCGGAUUAGCUAGUUGGUGGGGUAAAGGCCUACCAAGGCGACGAUCCGUAACUGGUCUGAGAGGGUGAUCAGUCACACUGGAACUGAGACACGGUCCAGACUCCUACGGGAGGCAGCAGUGGGGAAUAUUGGACAAUGGGCGAAAGCCUGAUCCAGCCAUGCCGCGUGUGUGAAGAAGGUCUUCGGAUUGUAAAGCACUUUAAGUUGGGAGGAAGGGCAGUAAGUUAAUACCGUGCUGUUUUGACGUUACCAACAGAAUAAGCACCGGCUAACUUCGUG
rnacentral:rRNA from 1 species